GCUGGGUGUGGUGGCGCACACCUGUAAUCCCAGCUACUAGGGAGGCUGAGGCAGGAGAAUUGCUUGAGCCCAGGAGGUGGAGGUUGCAGUGAGCUGAGAUCACACCACCGCACUCUAGUCUGGGUGUCAAAGCGAGACUCUGUCUCGG
ensembl:misc_RNA Metazoa_SRP Metazoan signal recognition particle RNA